GCAAACGGGUGAGUAACGCGUAGACAACCUGCCGCAAAGAUGGGGACAACAUCCCGAAAGGGGUGCUAAUACCGAAUGUUGUCAUUUCUCCGCAUGGAGAGACUGAUUAAAGAUGGCCUCUACUUGUAAGCUAUCGCUUUGCGAUGGGUCUGCGUCUGAUUAGCUAGUUGGUGGGGUAACGGCCUACCAAGGCGACGAUCAGUAGCCGGUCUGAGAGGAUGUACGGCCACAUUGGAACUGAGACACGGUCCAGACUCCUACGGGAGGCAGCAGUUGGGGAAUCUUCCGCAAUGGGGCGAAAGCCUGACGGAGCAACGCCGCGUGAGUGAAGAAAGGGUUUCGGCUUCGUAAAGCUCUGUUGACGGGGACGAACGUGCGAGAUGCGAAUAGUUUCUUGCAAUGACGGUACCCGUCGAGGAAGCCACGGCUAACUACGUGCCAGCAGCCGCGGUAAUACGUAGGUGGCGAGCGUUGUCCGGAAUUAUUGGGCGUAAAGGGAGCGCAGGCGGGAAGAUAAGUCAGUCUUAAAAGUGCGGGGCUCAACCCCGUGAUGGGAUUG
rnacentral:rRNA from 1 species